ACGGGUGAGUAACACGUAUCCAACCUGCCGUCUACUCUUGGCCAGCCUUCUGAAAGGAAGAUUAAUCCAGGAUGGCAUCAUGAGUUCACAUGUCCGCAUGAUUAAAGGUAUUUUCCGGUAGACGAUGGGGAUGCGUUCCAUUAGAUAGUAGGCGGGGUAACGGCCCACCUAGUCAACGAUGGAUAGGGGUUCUGAGAGGAAGGCCCCCCACAUUGGAACUGAGACACGGUCCAA
rnacentral:rRNA from 1 species